CAGGAGAAAAUAGACUUCCUCAAAGUAACGAGAAGUUGGGACCCCAAGCUCGAACAUCGGGAGAGAGCGUCAAACUCGAAUGGCCUCGAAAAGAUCUUCGAUCAUGAACAAAAAGGGUGAAUCAAUAUGGCGAUGACCAGAAAUCUUCAAACAACGUCGACAUCGAAUAAGACAGAAGACAAAAGAAGUUCGGUAAACGAUAAUUUAAUGCAAGAAUGGACAAGAUAAUGAAAUUUUUUUUUUUAUUUCAUUAGUAAAGUGGGCGUUACAAAGCCUUUGAAGGCCAAAAAAAAAAUGACAAGAGAAG
rnacentral:lncRNA from 1 species